rnacentral:rRNA from 1 species
CCUACGGGAGGCAGCAGUGGGGGAUAUUGCACAAUGGGGGAAACCCUGAUGCAGCGACGCCGCGUGUGGGAAGACGGUCCUCUGGAUUGUAAACCACUGUCCCCAGGGACGAAGAUGACGGUACCUGGGGAGGAAGCUCCGGCUAACUACGUGCCAGCAGCCGCGGUAAUACGUAGGGAGCGAGCGUUGUCCGGAAUUACUGGGUGAAAAGGGAGGGUAGGCGGGACUGCAAGUUGGGUGUCAAAUCUACCGGCUCAACCGGUAGCCGCACUCAAAACUGCAGUUCUUGAGUGAAGUAGAGGCAGGCGGAAUUCCUAGUGUAGCGGUGAAAUGCGUAGAUAUUAGGAGGAACACCAGUGGCGAAGGCGGCCUGCUGGGCUUUUACUGACGCUGAGGCUCGAAAGUGUGGGGAGCAAACAGGAUUAGAUACCCCAGUAGUC